rnacentral:misc_RNA from 1 species
ACACUUGGUGGGCUUUCCAAAUGAGAACCAAAGAAGCGCAAAAUCAAAGCAAAUUCAUCCGAUUCGUUAAACUACCCAUCAGAGCUCUAGGCAAGGCCAAGGAUUUCUAUGUACGAAGCAUCAUGGAUUGUGCUCCCAGAGUCUCUCACGGCUACCCAUCUGGCCAAUUGCCCAUGUUGCCCAAAAGCUACAGCUCUCGCUCUUCCAGAUCCAAUGAAACCGACGAUUUCAGAGAGCUUGUCAAG